GAUGAAGAACGCAGCGAAAUGCGAUAAGUAGUGUGAAUUGCAGAAUUCAGUGAAUCAUCGAAUCUUUGAACGCACAUUGCGCCCCUUGGUAUUCCAUGGGGCAUGCCUGUUCGAGCGUCAUUUGUACCUUCAAGCUUUGCUUGGUGUUGGGUGUUUGUCCUGAGGGACUCGCCUUAAAGUGAUUGGCAGCCAGUGUUUGGUUUUGAAGCGCAGCACAAGUCGCGAUUCAAAGCUAUACGCCCGCUUCCACAAGCCUUUUUCACUUUUGACCUCGGAUCAGGUAGGGAUACUCGCUGAACUUAAGCAUAUCAAUAAGCGGAGGA
rnacentral:misc_RNA from 1 species